rnacentral:rRNA from 1 species
GGAAUAUUGGACAAUGGGGGGAACCCUGAUCCAGCGACGCCGCGUGAGUGAAGAAGUAUUUCGGUAUGUAAAGCUCUAUCAGCAGGGAAGAUGAUGACGGUACCUGAGUAAGAAGCACCGGCUAAAUACGUGCCAGCAGCCGCGGUAAUACGUAUGGUGCAAGCGUUAUCCGGAUUUACUGGGUGUAAAGGGAGCGUAGGCGGCCGUGCAAGUCAGGCGUGAAAGCCCGGGGCUUAACUCCGGGACUGCGCUUGAAACUGUGUGGCUGGAGUGCAGGAGAGGCAGGCGGAAUUCCUAGUGUAGCGGUGAAAUGCGUAGAUAUUAGGAAGAACACCGGUGGCGAAGGCGGCCUGCUGGACUGAGACUGACGCUGAGGCUCGAAAGCGUGGGGAGCAAACA